UGUCGGGUAAGUUCCGACCUGCACGAAUGGCGUAACGAUUUCCCCACUGUCUCCAACAUCGACUCAGCGAAAUUGAAUUCUCCGUGAAGAUGCGGAGUACCCGCGGUCAGACGGAAAGACCCCGUGCACCUUUACUACAACUUUACAGUGGCAUCAGAGUGGAGAUGUGCAGGAUAGGUGGGAGCCUUUGAAGUAGUGGCGCCAGCUGCUAUGGAGGUACCCUUGAGAUACCACCCUUCUGCACUUUGGUGUCUAACCGCGGCCAGUGAAGCCUGGUCCGGGACCCUGUAUGGUGGGUAGUUUGACUGGGGCGGUCGGCUCCUAAAGAG
rnacentral:rRNA from 1 species